rnacentral:rRNA from 1 species
GACGAACGCUGGCGGCGUGCUUAACACAUGCAAGUCGAACGGAAAGGCCCUGCUUUUGUGGGGUGCUCGAGUGGCGAACGGGUGAGUAACACGUGAGUAACCUGCCCUUGACUUUGGGAUAACUUCAGGAAACUGGGGCUAAUACCGGAUAGGAGCUCCUGCUGCAUGGUGGGGGUUGGAAAGUUUCGGCGGUUGGGGAUGGACUCGCGGCUUAUCAGCUUGUUGGUGGGGUAGUGGCUUACCAAGGCUUUGACGGGUAGCCGGCCUGAGAGGGUGACCGGCCACAUUGGGACUGAGAGACGGCCCAGACUCCUACGGGAGGCAGCAGUGGGGAAUAUUGCACAAUGGGCGGAAGCCUGAUGCAGCAACGCCGCGUGCGGGAUGACGGCCUUCGGGUUAUAAACCGCUUUCGCCUGUGACGAAGCGUGAGUGACGGUAAUGGGUAAAGAAGCACCGGCUAACUACGUG